CUUUCAUUUCCUCUGCAAAAUCUCGUCAGGAGAAAGCUAGGGUUUCAAAAAUCAAAUCAAUCCUUAGCUUAGAUUAGCUCAAGAUUUAGAAUCGUCCAUGGAUGUUAUGCAAUGAGUUUGAUUUUGGGUUCAUCCUUGAAUCGGUGAAGAAAACAAUUAUGGGUUUUUUCUUUGGGUGUUUUCGUGUUAAAGAGGAGAACCAAAAUCAUCAUAUCAUCUCUGAUUCUUCCAACAAAAAAAAUCCUUUGGUAUCUAGGAAUCGUCUAGCAGUGUUACUCUUAUCUGAAUCUCAAGGUGUGGGUUGCAGCUGUAAUGAUGGAGGUGGAUUGGUAGUUUGUCCUAAUUUUGUUAUGAAGAAGCUGAAGUGUUGAUUUGGGUUGCAGUGAAUUAUGUCUUAGAUGAGGAUGAUUAUGAGUUACUGUGGGAUAACAAUGUGGGAUUUCACCGUCCUGCACCAUGCCAGGUGAUCCUUCUAUAGUUGGAAAAGAAACGGGCCAAGGCGAAUUUCUAUAUAUGGGUCGAGUGAGGUGUCCUAGUAACUUUCAAGUUGAGAGCACUUUUUUUUGGGAGUUGUUUUCUUUCAAUACUUGUCAGGUGAUCCUUCUAUACUUGUCCAAUGGUUUCGUGUAUGCAAUUAGCUUUUCUGUUCUUGGUGAUCAUAUAUGCAGUCUCUAUUCUUCAUAUCACUUUCUUCAUCUAUCUCAACAAAGUUUCUGCAGGAUGUGGUGCUUACAUCACCUGCAAGCAAGAUAUGAUGCAGCCUAAUGCUAGCAUCAAAGACAGGUACAUACUAUAUUUUUUUUAAGUUUUUACAGUUCCAAUCUUGAAAACUUAUACGCCAAAUUGGAAUGUUGUACAUACUAGCACUUUAAAGGCAACAGUUUAGAAUGUAUGGAUGGGGCCUAGAUUGUACUAUAUAAAGUAUCGACUGAUAUUGGUAUGUGAACUGGUGCACUAGUAAAUGGUUCCUGCAUGGUGUUAGUAAAGGACCAUUAGCAUGUCCCUAAUGACAUGUCGGUAAAUAUCAUGUCUAUGACCAGAUCAUUUCAUUCAAGCAUGAAUUAGUGGAAUGGCCUGACUGAUGAGUUAGUUAAUCGCCUUUUCAUGGGUUCAUCUGGACUCAGUUUCCUUCAAAUUUGAUGAAUGCAUUACUGCUUGGGGAUGCAAUACAAGAUCUUCCUGAAGUCACCCGAGAAGACACCUUCUUCAACUGCGUGGCAUGCUGUUUCAACAGGGACCAUGUUUACUGUCUACUACAAACCAAGGGAGUAAUUAGGUGUGGAAGUGUUUGCGCGAAGUUGUAGCUGGGAUUAGGUAUACAGUUUUCUUAGUUACAGAAUAUGUUCAUGAUCUUUGUACUACACAGAAUUUGUAUUCCCUUAGGACAUAGGAAUGAACUUAUAGUGAUAUAAGUGAGAAUGAACUAAACUUAGGAAGUUUCUAAGUAUUCCCUUAGAAAUUUUUUGGUACUUAGAAUUUGUUUUCUUUUUUUGAUAUGAAUCGAAUGUGUAUUGAUAUGAAUUGAAU